GUUUGGUGGGGGUGGGGGCGUACUGUGACAAAAAUGAAUGACCAGUAUUGCUCUUGCAGUUUUGGCAUAUACUGAAUAAGCAAUGAAGAGAUCAGUAUGACAUUCAGAAGUCUCACCUCUGCCAAUUUGCUAUGAUGAAAAAGAGCACCAAACAGCCAACAUGAAACAAGUUCUGGAUCUUUAUGGCACCUGAACUUUGCACUGGACCAGGGGAAAACAAUAAAACAACGGUUGGAAUUGCAACUUCCAUGACUUGAGUU